rnacentral:rRNA from 1 species
GAUGAACGCUGGCGGCGUGCCUAAUACAUGCAAGUCGAGCGAACAGACGAGGAGCUUGCUCCUUUGACGUUAGCGGCGGACGGGUGAGUAACACGUGGGUAACCUACCUAUAAGACUGGGAUAACUUCGGGAAACCGGAGCUAAUACCGGAUAAUAUUUCGAACCGCAUGGUUCGAUAGUGAAAGAUGGCUUUGCUAUCACUUAUAGAUGGACCUGCGCCGUAUUAGCUAGUUGGUAAGGUAACGGCUUACCAAGGCAACGAUACGUAGCCGACCUGAGAGGGUGAUCGGCCACACUGGAACUGAGACACGGUCCAGACUCCUACGGGAGGCAGCAGUAGGGAAUCUUCCGCAAUGGGCGAAAGCCUGACGGAGCAACGCCGCGUGAGUGAUGAAGGUCUUCGGAUCGUAAAACUCUGUUAUUAGGGAAGAAUAAACGUGUAAGUAACUGUGCACGUCUUGACGGUACCUAAUCAGAAAGCCACGGCUAACUACGUGCCAGCAGCCGCGGUAAUACGUAGGUGGCAAGCGUUAUCCGGAAUUAUUGGGCGUAAAGCGCGCGUAGGCGGUUUUUUAAGUCUGAUGUGAAAGCCCACGGCUCAACCGUGGAGGGUCAUUGGAAACUGGAAAACUUGAGUGCAGAAGAGGAAAGUGGAAUUCCAUGUGUAGCGGUGAAAUGCGCAGAGAUAUGGAGGAACACCAGUGGCGAAGGCGACUUUCUGGUCUGUAACUGACGCUGAUGUGCGAAAGCGUGGGGAUCAAACAGGAUUAGAUACCCUGGUAGUCCACGCCGUAAACGAUGAGUGCUAAGUGUUAGGGGGUUUCCGCCCCUUAGUGCUGCAGCUAACGCAUUAAGCACUCCGCCUGGGGAGUACGACCGCAAGGUCGAAACUCCAAGGAAUUGACGGGGACCCGCACAAGCGGUGGAGCAUGUGGUUUAAUUCGAAGCAACGCGAAGAACCUUACCAAAUCUUGACAUCCUUUGACCCUUCUAGAGAUAGAAGUUUCCCCUUCGGGGGACAAAGUGACAGGUGGUGCAUGGUUGUCGUCAGCUCGUGUCGUGAGAUGUUGGGUUAAGUCCCGCAACGAGCGCAACCCUUAAGCUUAGUUGCCAUCAUUAAGUUGGGCACUCUAAGUUGACUGCCGGUGACAAACCGGAGGAAGGUGGGGAUGACGUCAAAUCAUCAUGCCCCUUAUGAUUUGGGCUACACACGUGCUACAAUGGACAAUACAAAGGGCAGCGAAACCGCGAGGUCAAGCAAAUCCCAUAAAGUUGUUCUCAGUUCGGAUUGUAGUCUGCAACUCGACUACAUGAAGCUGGAAUCGCUAGUAAUCGUAGAUCAGCAUGCUACGGUGAAUACGUUCCCGGGUCU